rnacentral:lncRNA from 1 species
GUUUAUAUGUCUUAUAAUUUUCGUGAGAACAACUAUUUCAGAUGAUAGAUAUACGAAGAUCUCGUGGACCUUAUUAACUAACGAACUCCAAGAUCCAAUAAGUCAUGAACGAAUUAACUUAUAGGAUUUGUCUAUUCUUUAUUCCACUUUCUUGACAAGACUCAUAUUACCUGAAUUUUUUAUUGGACUUUAAUCCAGUAUGAAACAAGUAGUACACCAUCUGCU